UUGACAGAAGGACACGUUUCGAGCCACGUCGGGCUCACGGGCGAGGUAGCGUCCACCUUCCUUAAACAGUAACGUGUGUCGGUAUUUGACAGAAGGACACGUUUCGAGCCUCGUCGGGCUCAUGGGCGAGGUAGCGUCCACCUUCCUUAAACAGUAACGUGUGUCGGUAUUUGACAGAAGGACACGUUUCGAGCCACGUCGGGCUCACGGGCGAAGUAGCGUCCACCUUCCUUAAACAGUAACGUGUGAUAUUUCCUGUGUGUGUCGUUUUGGGUCAGAACACAUCAGACGAGGGAACGUCUGUGUAAUAAUUUGUUGGACAAGUUUUGGUGUUGCUGGUUGCUGUUAGUAGCCUAAGUGUUUCGGAGUCACACUGCGAAUUGUGAAAAAACUGGGCUGCGUGCCAAAGUGUGUGCAAGAAGAGAACCUUGGUUGUUUACCAAUGCGAGUGAAUGCGAGAAAGUGCACUCAGUGUUGUUUUGUUCGGAGCUCCAUCAGUGUUGUCAUGUCUACAGAAUAACGUAUUGUUGUGUUAGGCCUACGUGAUAUGUUUGUUAUAUGUGUACACAAUAUAGUACAUAUAACCCAUAUAAUAUAAGAGUAAAAGCGCAUAUUUUUCCUUUCGUGUAGUUAAUACUUUCGGCUCAUAAUAGCUAAUCUGCGUAAUUCUGAAGGGCUACCAACUACUGGAAUGAUGACGGAGAAAGAGGUUUUAUGCGGGGAUCUAAUGGCAGCGGCAUUAAAAGCUAUGGUUAAAAGAUAUGGGAAAGCAAUGAGAACUAAUCCCCCAUUCCCUAGCAAAAAUGAUUCCGGGGUAAUUUCAGAGAAGGCACUGAAUGUAUGGUGGUCCCAACAGAAAAAUAAUAAAGAGAAAGGUAAAUAUGCAGCAAUGUGCGUAGUGAUGGCAUAUAAGAGCGCAGCACACAAACUCAAACAAUAUGAGGGAGAGCUGGAGCGCUGCCGUAGUGAAAUAGACGAGCUGCAAAGGUGUCGUAGCGAACUAGACAGCAAAAACAAACUGUUAGCUAAGGUACAGGAGGAUUUGUACAAGGCUCCCCCAUAUUCACAAGUUAUGGAUGAUAUAUCUCUAGAGCCUAGUCCUCCAAUGGCCCCCAUAGCAGUAGACUCGAUUCCGAAUCCGGAUCGGAGUGAGGGGCAGCCAAGUAUUAUAACACAAAUCAAACAUACACCACACUAAGUCCUUCUUAUUUGCGUAGCAUGGUUCGGGAAUUACCCGAUCUCAAAAGAGAUGACCCGAACAUGGCGUUUUGGGAGAAAAUAGCACAGUACAUGACGGUGGGGGAUUACAUGCUUUCGACGUUUAUGUGUUAACAAAGGCAAAAUGUCCAAGUGCAGUAUGAAGCGAGUAGGGGAAUUUAAUAACUCUGCAUGGGCAUCUGUCCGCUUCACAUCCACGCUUGAGAUGGAGGAAGCAAUGGAAAAUUUCAGGAAGACAGUUUAUCAAGCUCUAGGUACAGGUUCCAAUCUGUAUUCAUUAUAUCUUACCCACCACCAACGCGAAGAUGAACCUUUUGAUAGGUAUAUUGACGAGAAAUACAGUUUGUACUCCACAUAUGGUAAUGCAGGUGACAAUCCAAGUAAAGAUAACCCCGAUUUCCUGAUGAAUGUACUCGAGGGAAGUGUAGCUUUAUACCGAGAUACAGUGGGUAAGGCUAGUUUUCGACCGAAGGAUUGUAGCGACUUAAUUUCGUGGGCUGCAUGUUUAAAUAAAUAUCAUAGUGGUGUAAACAAGGGGGGCGCAAGAUCAGGUCUGAGAUCACAUUCUCACAAUAAAGCACCCCUCCACAUGGCUCCGGUACAGGAGAUAGCUCCUUGCAGCAACUGUGGGAGAUCGGGGGAUAGCCAGGCGGACUGUCUCGGAGGGAGAAAGACCCCGUGUAAGCUCUGUCACAGAUAUGGACACGUUGCCCAGGCAUGCAGAUCUGGGAAUAACCGGUGCAGAAAAUGUCACAAACUCGGACAUUGGGCACGUGAGUGCGAAUUCAGAAAUGAAGGUCAGUCAGAACGAGGUAGCCAGCUCCAAGACAUGUCAAAAGACGAACUCGUUAGAUUAAUUAAAUCGCUUGAAACCUCAGAAUAGGAUACGUCGGCCCCCAUUGCAUCAGGUGUUGAGGUUUCGUUCAAAUAGCAUAAGGACGUGGACACCACAAGCCCCUAAAUAUUCUUAAUUUAUGAGCCCAAGAUAAGGGAGUAACAGUAAAUAAAUAAAUAAAUAAAAAGGUUAUGAGCCCAAGAUAAGGGAGUAACAGUAAAUAAAUAAAUAAAAAAGGUAGCACACAUAUGAUUGACCCCUAGUGGCAGAUCCUAACACCAUCCUUUCCACAGUUUCUCAUGUAAAAUACACGCUGAGCAAUGUUGGCUUCAAGCUGACACUGAGGUAAUGGAUCGUUUUUACUUCUCAAAGUAGCACCUUGCAUAAGACUUUUGUUAAUACAGUGAAUGUACCUGUGGGUGAUCUGUGGGGUUGCAACCAAGGCCGUGUAAAUACACCAGAGAUGGAGGCAUAAGGAUUUUAAAAUGGUGUGUGACUUUUGAACUUGUAGGAGACUCCUGACUAGUGCAGUAGCCCCCAAUACAAAAUGGGGGACUGGUACAAGAAAAUAACAUUGGUUAAAAAAAAAAUAUAUAUUAAAAAAAAAACAACUAACUAAUCAAUUCCAACUAACUAAUCAUUUGUUCUCCAUUUUAGGAUGAGACUGGGUGACGCAGCCACCAGCCGUGCUCCUCUCCGUGAAAGCGGGACUGAGUAAUUAACACUGAGUAAUUAACAUUUGCUUUCACCCUUUGAAAUUCUUACAGGUUGACCCAUGAGGACUCCUGGUGGGUAGUGUAUUGGCGGAAAAUUGCAUGUAAUGGGUGACCGUUUAGGUAAACAUUGCAGGCUUUUGUCCUAAGUGUGUUUCACAGGAUCACAGAACUGGACCUGACCCGGCUGAGGACAAAGAAAUGCCUGGUUGAACCUGGAGACAAGGUCCUGGUGAAAAACAUAAUCGGCAAAAUUUGGUCUGGACCACACAGGCUCACGAUUCCAUCAGCUGCUUCCAGUGACUGGAACUCCGGUGUGGUUCCAUUACAUUACAUUACAGGCAUUUCCACAUUCAAUAGUUAAGGAAAUACAAGGGUGAGACCCAACAUGGGGCACAAUAAUCCCCGUCUACCCUUAUAGCCCCUGGGGGCUAUCUCUCUUUCCGUGUCUCCAUUCAGACACAUUUCCAGGACAAGAAUGUGCACCAACCUUGCAAGCUGCAGUUGGAUUUGGGAUGACUUCGCAGCAACAUUUUCAUCAUUAUGUUGUCAUGUUGGAUAUUUUUGUCAUUAUAUUGUAAUGUUGUAUAUAGUCUGAGAGUGUGGGUUGAUACAGGAAUAGGUUGGGAGGAGGCAAUUAAAAUAUGGGAAAAGUUUUAUAUUAAUUAGGAUAAAAAGGUUGCAGGACUGGAGGAAGAUGGUUGUCCCACUCGGAAGGCCAUAUACAGAUAUGCCCUUCAUCUAAGAUGUGAGGCACAUGCAGCCCUCCAGAGAAGCCUGGCACAUGCCCUAAAUUGUAUAAAGCCUGGCACAUGCCCUAAAUUGUAUAGUGGACCUAAAAUUUUGAAUUGCUCUGAAAGAGAGCCUCUGCCUGCCCGAGUGACUGUAUCCAUCAGACACUCUCACAUAAUCAUUCAUCACUGGUGUAAAAUGCUUCAGGUUAGGUUAGGUUUUCUUUGUAACAAAAUUAUAUAUAUUAGAUAUAAUUAGGAAACAUAAGGAUAUCGCAUGAUGGGAGGGAGGCACUGGGUCCACAGCAAAUGCCAUUUUUGGUUAUAAAAUAAAUGUUAAUAAUUGAGAUUGGGCUGAAACCUGUUAGCAACAGGCACAAUAUUGGUGACAAAAGGAGGACUACUUUCUAACCAAACUACUGCCUAACACUUCCAACUGCACUAAUCCAACUGACACUCCUACCACUAUCAGCUCUAUUCUGGUCACUCCUGAUGUCACCACUAACAUCUCUGUCCCAGCACUUGAUAGCUGGGUGUAGAACCCUAACACCACAAUGCAGAUAAAAGGUAACAACAAAUGACCCAAUGGCUUAAAAAUAGUAAUUACUGUCCCUUGGGGUGGGGUUGUUUGUAUGUAUUGUAUGGGUCAUUUUUUCCAAUGUGUGUGGGUAUGUAACAUUUUCAUUUUUCUGGUAAUUAGCAUGCACACAGGCCAACCCAAGGAGGAUGGGUUCCCCCCGCUGAGCCUUGGUUCCUCUCAAGGUUUCUCCCCUUUACUCUAGGAGAGUUUUUCCUUGCCACUGUCGCCAUGUGCUUGCUCGCUGGGGGUACAGGCAUGAAUAGGUUAUGGGGAAUAUGGCAUUUGACACCAUAUUUCCAAAUACAAAAUGGGGGACUGAUAGGUUCCCAGUUUUAUUUAGUAUACAUAUAUGUUAUAUGUAUUGUAUUGUGUUUCCGUUUCUGCCAUUACUGUGUCUGUAGUUUGCAUUCCUCUGUGUCUAGCCCCUCUGUAGUGUGUCUCCGUAUAACACCUCUAGUGUCUGCAGCAAGGAGGUCACAUUCCUAUGCUAAAUGGCUGCGAGGGUCCACAGGAAAGGACAAGACCAUUUGUCUCCGGUCCGCCACUUAACUCAACCGUUUGAUGUGUAUGACUGAAAACUGUAUAUCUAGACACCACACAGUGUGAUGGGCAGAGAUUCUCUCAGCGCAGCGCCCGAGUGUGCUGGGUCUGUCUCUCCCUUGCGCAUUGAAUUAAACCACAAAUCCUCUGAGGAAA